rnacentral:rRNA from 1 species
UACGGAGGGUGCGAGCGUUGUCCGGAAUCACUGGGCGUAAAGGGCGCGUAGGCGGCGCGGGAAGUCAUCGGUGAAAGUUCAGGGCUCAACCCUGAAUCGGCCGUCGAUACUCCCGAGCUCGAGCACUGUAGAGGCAGAUGGAAUUCCGGGUGUAGCGGUGGAAUGCGUAGAGAUCCGGAAGAACACCGGUGGCGAAGGCGGUCUGCUGGGCAGUAGCUGACACUGAGGCGCGACAGCGUGGGGAGCGAACAGG